GCCUGAUAUGCUUCUCUUUUUAUCCAUCUGUGGACAGUUGAUUUUGAUGUUUGUAGGCCCUUUGCCAUAUUUCUAAUAAAAGAUCUUUGCACCAACGAUUUUCAAUGUCUUCGCAUUGUCCGUACAGAGCAGUUGAAUAAUUUUGUUAUUUAUGUGACUCUUCCCUUGCCCAACUCCAAUCCUUCAUCGUAUGUUUCGAGCAUAAAUUGAACCAUAUUGUUCAAUUCUGCAAUGAAACCCUAGCAGCCGCCAUCAGUGUUCGCCGCCCCUUACUACUCGCCAAUCGACACAGGCUCUGCCGUUGGAAGCGCCUUGUCGUUGUUGCCAGCCAUCGAAAAUUCGCCGCCAAACGCCGAUAUGGAGCCGCUCUGCGCCGCUAACGCAAAUCGCGGCAGAAGAGCUUUUCCGCCGCCGCUCUUCCGGCCACGCAUGUGGAUGCAUGGGG